rnacentral:sRNA from 1 species
CCUCAUUGGCCUGCUGCGGGCAGAUGAAAUGGAUGUGCGUGUCGAAUCCUCCAGCCGUGAUAAUCUUGCCCUCUCCAGCGAUGACAUCCGUGCAAGAACCGAUGACCAGGUUUGGAUGAACACCCUUCAUGACGUCCGGGUUGCCGGCUUUGCCAAUCCCAACGAUGAGACCAUUCUUGAUGCCAAUGUCCGCUUUGUAGAUGCCUGACCAGUCAAUGACGAGAGCGUUGGUGAUGACCGUGUCCAGAGACUCGCUAUCCGAACGUCCGCCUGCCUGGCCCAUUCCCUCGCGCAGG